UAGUGGCGGACGGGUGAGUAACACGUGGGAACGUGCCUUUAGGUUCGGAAUAACUCAGGGAAACUUGUGCUAAUACCGAAUGUGCCCUUCGGGGGAAAGAUUUAUCGCCUUUAGAGCGGCCCGCGUCUGAUUAGCUAGUUGGUGAGGUAAAGGCUCACCAAGGCGACGAUCAGUAGCUGGUCUGAGAGGAUGAUCAGCCACAUUGGGACUGAGACACGGCCCAAACUCCUACGGGAGGCAGCAGUGGGGAAUCUUGCGCAAUGGGCGAAAGCCUGACGCAGCCAUGCCGCGUGAAUGAUGAAGGUCUUAGGAUUGUAAAAUUCUUUCAGUAGGGACGAUAAUGACGGUACCUACAGAAGAAGCCCCGGCUAACUUCGUGCCAGCAGCCGCGGUAAUACGAAGGGGGCUAGCGUUGCUCGGAAUUACUGGGCGUAAAGGGAGCGUAGGCGGACAUUUAAGUCAGGGGUGAAAUCCCGGGGCUCAACCUCGGAAUUGCCUUUGAUACUGGGUGUCUUGAGUGUGAGAGAGGUAUGUGGAACUCCGAGUGUAGAGGUGAAAUUCGUAGAUAUUCGGAAGAACACCAGUGGCGAAGGCGACAUACUGGCUCAUUACUGACGCUGAGGCUCGAAAGCGUGGGGAGCAAACAGGAUUAGAUACCCUGGUAGUCCACGCCGUAAACGAUGAUUGCUAGUUGUCGGGAUGCAUGCAUUUCGGUGACGCAGCUAACGCAUUAAGCAAUC
rnacentral:rRNA from 1 species